UACGUAGGGACCGAGCGUUGUCCGGAAUCAUUGGGCGUAAAGAGCGUGUAGGCGGCUUGCUAAGUCUUGCGUGAAAAUCUCGGGGCUCAACCCCCGAGCGGUCGUGGGAAACUGGCAGGCUAGAAUGCGGGAGAGGAGAAUGGAAUUCCUGGUGUAGCGGUGAAAUGCGCAGAUAUCAGGAAGAACACCCGUGGCGAAGGCGGUUCUCUGGAACGCAACUGACGCUGAGACGCGAAAGCGUGGGGAGCAAACAGG
rnacentral:rRNA from 1 species